UGAUUAGCUGUGCCUUGGUGCUCUCACCUGGAGAAUGGGGAUUGAAACCCCCACUGCCUCUUGCACGGAACUGCUGGAACCCUCCAUGGAGACACCACCUGUGAAGACUAAGAAGGGCCACAAAAAGGCGGUCCGAGAAGAGACAAAGAGCACUAGAGUAAAAACACUGCAGGCCACAUUGAGACGUGAAGGUGACCUGCCCUCCAGUCUCCCACCGGGCCCAGGCAGCGCCCUCAGAGAUCUUGGCUCGAGGCUGCAGCUCUGCCGCCAGGGUAUUUAACCCUCGAGCCUCAGUUUCUCCUUCUGCACAAACAAGCCACUCAGGGUGGAAAGGGCCUGGUAAGGGUGAACACUCAGCCAGCCACAAAGCAAGUCCCGAGAUAACUUGGGUAAGUCAUCCCUCUCUCUCUGCCUCAGUUCCCCCACCUGUAAGGGGGAAGCGCAGACACACCCUGACGACCUCCCGGCUGUUCAGAAGCUAGAUUCACUUGUGAAGGUGCUCUUUGCUCCAAGUGCUCCAUGCCUGUGAGCAAUGGGCACCACCGUGACAUGUGCUAGGUGGGAAAGCUGGGAAUGGGCCCUCGUGUGCCCCUUCACAAGCUCUGUCAGGCCACGGUUUCUGGGCAGCUCUGAAGACUGAGCCUCCCCCACAAGCACUAGGAUUCCCUAGAAGGAGCCCUGGAAAGGAGGGAUAGGGCAGUGAGGGCGAGAUGCUCAAGCACCUGGGAACUUGUUCAGCCGGCUCUUUGCAGCAGUGGUUAGGGCCCUCCCAGGGGCUCCUGUGAGCACUCUGGUCCAGUGGACUGUCAUGGGAAGGUGGGGAAGACAGCUGACUUCAGGCUUCCAGCAGCCCCUCUCCCUGGAGGGCCAGACCCUCAUCUGGCCCAGCCCUUCCCUCUGCAAGCUGCACAGGACCCAGGGCGGAGGCAAAGGAGGAUGCUGUCAAGGGUGUAAUAAAUGACUUAUUGACUGGUAAGCAGAGUUCUCAGGGCUUGGAGCAUGACCUUCCGGCAAUUAUGCCCUCCACUGCCUGCCCAAGGACCCCUCCCUCUCUGUGGAGGCUCAGGUCUGGCUGGGCCCCUUCUCCCCAAGACCCUGCCCUGACCUGUGCCCAGCCCUGACCUGCAGGGGCCUGAGGCCUGCAGACAAGGUGCCCCUGGGGCUGCUAAUGUUCCUCCCCCUUGUGCCCACGGGAAGAGGCACCCUCUCAGACCAACCCUUAAAAUGGCACAGGCCGGAGAGAGAAGACCGACGUGCUGGCUGGGAUUGGUCUGUGGGAACAGCCCAGUUCUGCCCGGCAGCUCUUUACUGAGACCAGAGUCCCACUGGUGGGGCGGCUGCAUUCGACACGGGUGGUCCAAGGUUCCUAUACGCUCACCACGCCAUCGCUCAAGUCAUCGCUGUGCAGCCGGCUGUCACGGGAACAUCUGGCGAGGUGUACGGGGGUAAGACCUGGUCCCAGCCUAGGGCGCGGAUGCAGAGUGGAUGGGUUCCUGGAAGCAACACUGAAUUUGGAGUCCAGAGACUAGGUAACACCCCAACUAGGCUCUGACAUAAAGUCUGGAAGCUUGGGGUGGGUCACUUCACUUCCCUGAGCCCCAUAAGACCUUCUUUUCAGAGUCAUUACAAGGGGUCAAUGAGACUCAAUGUGGGCAAGAGAACAGGCCCAGAGUAAGAGGGCAGCUGGGGCCUGGGACGGCCUACAACACACCAGGCACACAGAUGGAGUGUAUGUGGAUGGGACCCUCGCUAACCAAGGGGAAAGCAAACGGAGCAGUCACCUCAGCAUGUCUGACAGCUGAAGAAAGAAUGGAGGGGUGUGUGUGUGUGUGUGUACAUGUGUGUGCGUGCAUGUGUGUGGCAAGGGACUGGAAGAGGAAGAUCCAAGGCUUAUCUGAGGCCCAAAGAGCAACGAGCAGACCCUGUAGAUAAUAAAUAAAGCCCUUUCCACCCACAUGAACUAUGACCAUGAUCCCACCUCCUCUCUGUGAGGCGAGGGGUACAGGAUUCAUUAUCCCCCAUUUUACCGAAGAGGAAAUCGAGUCCCAGGGGGCUGAAGAGAUGUGCUCAGGACCACACGAAGCCAGGAGUCACAAUCCAAGCCAGGGCAGGGCCAGCGUUGGGGGGUCCUGCCCUCCCUGUCUUCCCUGGGAAGGGAACCCGUCGCCCCAUGAACAGCCCGCUGCUUGGACCCGUGAGCAGAGCAGGAGGCCCGUGCAUGAGGAAGCAGAGAGCAUUCAAGCAGCCAUGAAAACAGAAAGAGAAGAGAGGUCCGGAUCCAGCCUGAUCUCACACCGGCUUCUCUCUUACGAGGAAGGUAGCGUCCUCUAGAUAGGAUUUUGUGCUUCCGUCCUGUGUUGGAACAUCCUGGGAGCCCUAGCCUCUUGGCUCCCCAAUACUGCCACGAUUUCUGCUGUGUGCUUGUGCCCUACAGAGCUGAUGGAACUCCAAGGCACUCAGGUUAUUUCCAGUAUUUCGCAAUUACAAACUAUGCGCAUAUGUAUUUUGUAUUGAAGGGAAGAGUUCUGGAAGUAAGGUUGUUGGACCAAAAAACAGAGAAUAUAAUGCGCUGCUGUGAAACACUGGCCAACUAUCCACCUGAAGGAUUGCACCAAGGAGCAGUUCCACGCAACGUCUGCAAGUGUGUAUCACCCAGCUUCCCAACAGAAGGUGUGGUCCUAAUUUUUAAUUUUGUCCAGUCUUACAAAGUGAGAAGUGGCAUCUCAGGGUUGUUUUCUUUUGCAGUUUUCUAACUCUGAGUUUUAAUAUUUUUUCAUGUGUUUGAGGGUCGCUGUUGUAUCUUGUUUUACGAAUCGUCUGUUCAUGUCUCUUUUCUUCCUUUUUUACCAGGUUUUUGGUCGUUUGUUCCUCAAUAUUUUGGAAUGCUUUCUGUAUUGGGAUAUUAAUUCUUUGUCUGCGGUGUAUGUUACAAGC